rnacentral:rRNA from 1 species
AUUGAACGCUAGCGGGAUGCUUUACACAUGCAAGUCGAACGAGUGGCGGACGGGUGAGUAAUAUAUCGGAAAGUGCCCAGUAGCGGGGGAUAACUACUCGAAAGAGUGGCUAAUACCGCAUACUAUUUGAGCGGCCGAUAUCGGAUUAGCUAGAUGGCGGGGUAAAGGCUCACCAAGGCAACGAUCCGUAGCUGGUUUGAGAGGACGACCAUGCACACUGGGACUGAGACACGGCCCAGACUCCUACGGGAGGCAGCAGUGGGGAAUUUUGGACAAUGGGAGAAAGCCUGAUCCAGCCAUCCCGCGUGUAUGAGAAGGCCUUCGGGUUGUAAAAUACUUUUAUCAGAGAAGCGGUAUCUGCAGAAUAAGCACCGGCUAACUACGUGCCAGCAGCCGAGGUAAUUC